rnacentral:tRNA from 4 species
GGCCUCAUCGUCUAGCGGUUAGGACACGUGAUUCUCAUUCACGUAACAGGGGUUCGACUCCCCUUGAGGCUG